UAUUCUCAACCCCUAAAUUUUUGUAAUGAAGGUUUAGCGGGCUUGGACUUGGAGGUUGUGUCGGCCCUUGUCGGUCGACUCCUCUGAAAUGCAUUAGCGUGAAUCUUACGGAUCGCCUUCAGUGUGAUAAUUAUCUGCGCUGUGGUGUUGAAGUAUUUAUGGUGUUCAUGCUUCGAACCGUCUCUUUGCCGAGACAAUCAUUUGACA
rnacentral:misc_RNA from 1 species